AUGUGUCAGCCUUGUGAUGACCUGGCGACUUGUCCAGGGUGUACCCCGCCUUUCGCCCGUAGUCAGCUGGGAUAGGCUCCAGCUUGCCUGCGACCCUGUAGAACAGGAUAAAGCGGCUAGAGAUAAUGAGAUGAGAUGAGAUAUUCUCUGAGCGAGUGCCUUACUGAUGUUUUUUAUAUGUACAUUGAAUAGAGAGACGGGACAGUAACUGCAUGGUUAGGUUGGAUCUUUGGUUGUAGGAAGAGUGAGAUUAUGGUGAUCGUCAUAUUUCCUGCAAGUCUUGUUUUCUUUCACUUAUCAUUUGGUAAAAAAUUGGUGCUAUAAUUGACCAAAAAUGUUUAUAGAAUUCAGCAGGUAAUCCAUCAGGUCCAUAUGGUUUAUUAUUAACCAUAAGCUUGAAGGCAGUGGAGAGUUCGUCUUGUGUUAUUUGUGAGUAGAGCAUUUCUUUUCUACAGGAUUUAUUUCCCCUUGUAUCUUCCAUGUAUCCCCCAGUGUACGGUUCUAAAGUUCCUUGAAAAUGUAGAAUGUUGUCUAUAGUUCAUGCAAAAAGACCCCCUCCCCCACUUCAACCCCAUGGCCAUGGCUAGAGAUGGUCCAUCCGACACUGAUGCCCCUAUGCGUGUGUAGAGCACUUCUGCUGAUGCCUCGUAUCAAAGUAUAUAUCACUUUUAAGGAGAACCACGUGACUGAUACAGUUGGUGUGUUGGUCAUGGGACAGAGGUGUCUGUGCGGUAUAUAAAGCCUUGGUCCUUGCUCCUACGGCCGGUCUAUGUGCAAAAAACGCAAAGAAACGCACGGAGGGCGCGCGUGUGACGUGCUGAUUUUCGAGCCGUAGACUGGCCGCAGACCGGCCGCAGAGGUUCUUUGUCAUGUCAAACAAACUCUACGGGCGCUUACGUUUUUUUCAGGUUGCAAGACAAACUUACGGUCUUGUGUGUCUUCCGUACGGCGGACGUGCAUCUUUCGUACGAUUUGCUGGUGUCAGGUUUGGGCAAAAUGUCAAUAUUUUUCGUACGUCACACUUGCGGAUUCCGUAUGUGUGUUGUGCGCCCCACAUACGUAAUUAGUGCGGCCAACGCACGUUCAGAUAUUUCAUAUGUCAUCCAUGCGUGUCAAGUAAGUCGGCCGUGCAUUGGCCGUACGGCGAGAGGGCAUCAAUCGCACGAAAACUCGGGUAUACAUGUCAGCCUCUAGCUGUGUGGGGAUCUUAUUUUUAUUUUUGCUGUGAUGGUUUGCUGUGAUUUAUUUGGGUUGCUGUGAUUUUGGUGUGUUCACAUAAUUGGUUGAUUGCUGUGAUUUCGCUGUGUGCUGCUAAUUGACUGCUACCUACACUGAUCUUGUAUUUGCGGCUCUCUAAUUGCUUAGAUGGAUCAGCUGUUUGGACAAUUAUUACCUGACCUAUUGAAGCACUUGAAAGACGAAGGGGUGGGGUAUAAAAAGGGGACCUUUUCAGUAUUAAGGAGGAGUUCAACAGGGCGUGAAAUCGUUAAGAGGUGCCCGUGGACGGUGUGAGGCCGGUAACGGCCCCCGCCCUGCCGGGGACGCGGACUUCUCGGAGUCGGGUUGUUUGGGAAUGCAGCCCAAAGAGGGGACGUGGAUUUCUCGGAGUUGGGUUGUUUGGGAAUGCAGCCCAAAGAGGGGACGUGGAUUUCUCGGAGUUGGGUUGUUUGGGAAUGCAGCCCAAAGAGGGGAUCGGACGCCGCAGCAGAUGCGUAGUUACCAGUGGAAGAUCAGCAGGCAGAUUGAAGGAAGGAACGAAUGGACGAAUGAACGAAGGAAGGAAUGAACAAACGAACGAAUAUACAAACAGUUUUUCUCUGCCUGCGCUGUGCUGUUUCCCUGAUUUACUGCCUUCUUUUGAGGUGCAUCGGCUGCGGACUUAGGAAAUCGUGACCUAGCCAACGGGAAUCUGGAGUCAACUGUACUUAAUUCAACACUCGCUAACGACAGGGUGUGCGCUGACGCCGGGCGAGCCAUAGACGUUUUUGGGAAUCCCCCGCUGCUACCUGGACACUGGAGCUGUGACGUCACGCGCAGGGCUUCCCCGCGCAUUAGGCUUCCCCACGAUUUCAGCGCUUCUGGGACUGGGAUUCCUCUUUGCGCGGACUGCGCACUGCUGAGACGGGACAAUUUUAUUUUUCUUUUAUUUUUUUCUUUCUUUGUAGCUUGGUGCUAUUUUUAAAGGAUACUUUGGUUAUCUAUUUACUAAAUAAAGCGUGCAUUUUUUUUAA